rnacentral:rRNA from 1 species
CUGUAGACCCGAAACUUGGUGAGCUAGCCAUGAGCAGGUUGAAGUUUGGGUAAGACCAAAUGGAGGACCGAACCAGGACACGUUAAAAAGUGUUUGGAUGACUUGUGGCUAGGGGUGAAAUUCCAAUCGAACCAAGAGAUAGCUGGUUCUCCCCGAAAUAGCUUUAGGGCUAGCGUUAACGUAUAGAGGUUUAUGAAGGUAGAGCACUGAAUGUGUGAUGGCCCCACCUCGGGGUACUGAGCCCAAUCAAACUCCGAAUGUCAUAAAAUAUAGUUAGCAGUCAGACUGUGGGUGAUAAGGUUCAUGGUCAAAAGGGAAACAGCCCAGACCGCCAGAUAAGGUCCCAAAAUUAAUGCUAAGUGGAAAAGGAAGUGAAGAUGCACAGACAACUAGGAGGUUGGCUUAGAAGCAGCCAUCCUUUAAAGAGUGCGUAAAAGCUCACUAGUCGAGUGACUCUGCGCCGAAAAUGUACCGGGGCUAAGCAUUAUACCGAAUCUGCGGAUUGACAAUUAAUUGUCAGUGGUAGGGGAGCGUUCUAAGGGCGGUGAAGGUAGACCGGGAGGACUACUGGAGCGCUUAGAAGUGAGAAUGCCGGUGUAAGUAACGAAAAGAUAGGUGAGAAUCCUAUCCGUCGAAAACCCAAGGUUUCCAGGGGAAGGUUCGUCCGCCCUGGGUAAGUCGGGGCCUAAGGUGAGGCCGAGAGGCGUAGCCGAUGGAUAGCAGGUAGAGAUUCCUGCACUAGUUAGUAGACUGAUGGAGUGACAAAGCAGGCUAACAUCCGCCCCUUAGUGGAUUGGGGACAAGGGAUCGAGUCUUGUGCGUAGGCAAAUCCGCGCACUAUAAGGAUGAGAUCCGGUAGGUAAAGGAUGAUGACGUCAAACUUUCAAGAAAAGCUUCUAGGGUUAAUUUACUAACUACCCGUACCGUAAACCGACACAGGUGGGUGGGUAGAGAAUACUAAGACGCGCGAGAAAACCCUUGUUAAGGAACUCGGCAAAAUGACUCCGUAACUUCGGGAUAAGGAGGACUUUUAAUGAAAA